rnacentral:snRNA from 1 species
UUGAACCAUCAUUAUUAC